UGGAGUUACCACAAAAAGGUAAAAAUGGCAUUUACCAUGGACAUGACUACAAAAUAUUUGCCCACUAGGUUUUCUUUCUGCUACGUUGCUAGCGUUCAGCCUGCUGGAAACAUUU